rnacentral:rRNA from 1 species
AUUGAACGCUGGCGGCAGGCCUAACACAUGCAAGUCGAACGGUAACAGGAAGAAGCUUGCUUCUUUGCUGACGAGUGGCGGACGGGUGAGUAAUGUCUGGGAAACUGCCUGAUGUAGGGGGAUAACUACUGGAAACGGUAGCUAAUACCGCAUAACGUCGCAAGACCAAAGAGGGGGACCUUCGGGCCUCUUGCCAUCUGAUGUGCCCAGAUGGGAUUAGCUAGUAGGUGGGGUAACGGCUCACCUAGGCGACGAUCCCUAGCUGGUCUGAGAGGAUGACCAGCCACACUGGAACUGAGACACGGUCCAGACUCCUACGGGAGGCAGCAGUGGGGAAUAUUGCACAAUGGGCGCAAGCCUGAUGCAGCCAUGCCGCGUGUAUGAAGAAGGCCUUCGGGUUGUAAAGUACUUUCAGCGGGGAGGAAGGGAGUAAAGUUAAUACCUUUGCUCAUUGACGUUACCCGCAGAAGAAGCACCGGCUAACUCCGUG